GGGGAGGACACGCAGCCUCUCUCUCCUACAUCCUGUCCCUCUUCUUCUUCCUCUUCCUCUAUGACCCACUACCCUGCCCUGCCACCUGCCCUACUUCCCCUGGGCCUGCUCCUGUCUCAGGAACUCCUAGAUACUGGGAUCCGGGCACACCUCCUCUGCCAAGUACCCUCCAAGGGGGAGGCGAGCAGACCUUGAUGUUUACCGAGGCCCCUUUGGCUCUGCCGGCUCCCUAAGGUUUUUCUGGGCUCAUGCCAGCUGGGCCGGGCAGGCUCUGGGACGUGGGAAUUCACAGCCCAGUGAGGAGGUGGUCCGGAGGUGUGUGAGAAACAAGAAAGCUACAAGGAGUAAGCCACAAGCAGCACUGCCCCAUGGCUUCUGCUUCCUCUAGUUCUCCCUCUGACUUCUCUUCAUGAUGGACUGUGAUCUGGACAUGUAACCUGAAAUAAAGCCUUUUC
rnacentral:sRNA from 1 species